UACCAGCUUGGAAAUUAUUGCAGUUAUUCAGGGAACCUAAAUUUGAGGUCAAGGAUCAAAACGAGCCUUCUCUCUGUCAAGAGAUUUCUACUUAGACUUAUGUCUUCUGCAAUGUCUUCUGCAAAUGAUUUACUGAAGGCUUAUGGCCAUUCCAAAUAGCAGACAUGGAAGAUGAAAACCUCAAAGACAUCAAAGGGGACAUUGGAGGUGCAUGGACAUAAGGAACUGUAUGAGAAUGUUGAGAUAAAGAUGAGUAUGCCUUUUGAAAUGGGGGCGGCAGAUGUGCUAGAUGGUAAAGGAUACCACUUCAUACAGGAUGGCUUUAAUGGGAAAAGACACAGGCAGGAUCCCACUGGUCAAUGACUUCCAGACUCCUUGAAGCAGCUGCUUAAAAUUGGAAAUGAGAAUGACACAAAGAGCCUUUUACCUACUCAUCACAGUCAUGAUGAACCACACAUGAUGAUAGUGGCAACAGACUGAAUGUUUACUCAUAAACUACCACUACCUCUUUCAUAGCCACAAAAAUUAGUUUCACAGGUUGGAAUCCCAUGUGUUCGGGGUGGGAGAAAAUCAAGUACCAGAAAGCAGAAGCUAGUAAAACAUCAAAGCUGGUGCUGAAUUCAUCUCUUGGGGCUAUCUGAAGAGAAAGUUGCCCAGGAUAUAACUCUAAAAGCAUUGCAGCACAGCCUAGAUCCAGUAUGCCACACAUUGUGACAAGACAGCUCAAUUAUUCCUGGCUC
rnacentral:lncRNA from 10 species